UUUUGAGUAGCGGCGCAUGGGUGAGUAACGCGUAUGCAACCUACCUGUAUCACAGGGGAAUAGCCCGGAGAAAUUCGGAUUAAUGCUCCAUGGUUUAUCGAUAUGGCAUCAUAUUGAUAAUAAAGAUUUAUCGGUAUAAGAUGGGCAUGCGUAUCAUUAGCUAGUUGGUGUGGUAACGGCAUACCAAGGCUACGAUGAUUAGGGGUCCUGAGAGGGAGAUCCCCCACACUGGUACUGAGACACGGACCAGACUCCUACGGGAGGCAGCAGUGAGGAAUAUUGGUCAAUGGAGGCAACUCUGAACCAGCCAUGCCGCGUGCAGGAUGACGGUCCUAUGGAUUGUAAACUGCUUUUGUACAGGAAGAAAUGUCCCUACGAGUAAGGACUUGACGGUACCGUAAGAAUAAGGAUCGGCUAACUCCGUGCCAGCAGCCGCGGUAAUACGGAGGAUCCGAGCGUUAUCCGGAAUUAUUGGGUUUAAAGGGUUCGUAGGCGGUUUAGUAAGUCAGUGGUGAAAUUUCCUAGCUUAACUAUGACACUGCCAUUGAUACUGCUGAACUUGAAUAGUAUGGAAGUAACUAGAAUAUGUAGUGUAGCGGUGAAAUGUUUAGAUAUUACAUGGAAUACCCAUUGCGAAGGCAGGUUACUACGUAUUUAUUGACGCUGAUGAACGACAGCGUGGGUAGCGAACAGGAUUAGAUACCUUGGUAGUCCACGCCGUAAACGAUGGAUACUAGCUGUUCGGUCUUCGGUUUGAGUGGCUAAGCGAAAGUGAUAAGUAUCCCUCUUGAGGGAGUACGUUCGCAAGAAUGAAACUCAAAGGAAUUGACGGGGGCCCGCACAAGCGGUGGAGCAUGUGGUUUAAUUCGAUGAUACGCGAGGAUCCUUACCAGGGCUUAAAUGUAGAUUGACAGAUUUGGAGAUAGAUUUUUCUUCGGACAAUUUCCAAGGUGCUGCAUGGUUGUCGUCAGCUCGUGCCGUGAGGUGUCAGGUUAAGUCCUAUACCGAGCGCAACCCCUAUUGUUAGUUACCAUCGCGUAAUGGCGGGAACUCUAUCAAGACUGCCGGUGCAAACCGUGAGGAAGGUGGGGAUGACGUCAAAUCAUCACGGCCCUUACGUCCUGGGCUACACACGUGCUACAA
rnacentral:rRNA from 1 species